CGAUUCCGGAGAGGGAGCCUGAGAAACGGCUACCACAUCCAAGGAAGGCAGCAGGCGCGCAAAUUACCCAAUCCCGACACGGGGAGGUAGUGACAAUAAAUAACAAUAUGGGGCUCUUACGAGUCUCGUAAUUGGAAUGAGUACAAUUUAAAUCUCUUAACGAGGAACAAUUGGAGGGCAAGUCUGGUGCCAGCAGCCGCGGUAAUUCCAGCUCCAAUAGCGUAUAUUAAAGUUGUUGCAGUUAAAAAGCUCGUAGUUGAAUUUCGGAAUCUGUCCGUCGGUCGGGCUUCACUGUCCGUACUGGUGUGAUGGGUUUCUACCUUCUGAAUAACCGGCAUGUCAUUAAUUUGGUGCGCCGGGGAAGCAGAACUAUUACCUUGAAAAAAUUAGAGUGCUUAAAGCAGGCUAUCGCCUGAAUAGAUUAGCAUGGAAUAAUAAAAUAGGACGGCAUGGUUCUAUUUUGUUGGUUUCUAGGAUCACCGUAAUGAUUAAUAGGGAUAGUUGGGGGCAUUAGUAUUCAAUUGUCAGAGGUGAAAUUCUUGGAUUUAUUGAAGACUAACUUCUGCGAAAGCAUUUGCCAAGGAUGUUUUCAUUAAUCAAGAACGAAAGUUAGGGGAUCGAAGACGAUCAGAUACCGUCGUAGUCUUAACCAUAAACUAUGCCGACUAGGGAUCGGACGAUGUUAAUUUUUUAAUGAC
rnacentral:rRNA from 1 species